ACUACGUUGAUCGUGGUGCUUGGGGUCUCGAGACCUUCCUCAUCCUCUUCUCCUGGAAGCUUGGUUCGAAAAAGCGAGGACCUCAACGCUUAGGGACCCCAUUGCCAGGCGAGGUACCUCGCUUGUACGGCGCUUUGUUGGUACCUAUAUAAAAAGGUGAUUGUUGAAUAUGCUCAUGCUAUGAACCAACGCGAAUUAACUACAAGAAAGCAAAGAAAAUUUAAGAGUAAAUACUAUUGAAUCAAAUGCCCGUUUUAAUGUAUAUAUUAAUUAUGUGAAUGAAUAAAUAUACAAUUUCUUUGAUUUGUAUGUAUAGUGCUUUCAAAACUCGAUUUUCUUUUUCAAUUAAUUUUAAAAACAGUAAUGUUUUUUAAUUUUAAAAAGACUAAGUUCGGUCCAACUAAUGCUGAUCUUUUACCUGGUGCAAGACACUUCGAGAAUUAAUACUUUGGUCUUGGUUUCUAUCUUAACGCUCAUGUUUUUUUUUGGUUGUUUAGGUUUUGAUGCCUGAUAGAGUCUUCCUUCUCCGGGGUAAUCAUGAAUCUAAGUACUGUACAUCUAUGUACGGUUUCGAAAAGGAAGUGCUUACAAAAUACGGUGACAAGGGGAAACAUGUGUACCUCAAGUGUUUAGGUUGCUUUGAAGGUCUUCCUUUGGCUUCCGUUAUCUCUGGACGUGUCUAUACAGCACACGGAGGGCUGUAGCAGCCCUGUUGUGCCUAAGAGAACAAAGGGAAAGAAGAACCCUCUGGUGCUUCGUCA
rnacentral:lncRNA from 1 species